rnacentral:rRNA from 1 species
AUUGAACGCUGGCGGCAUGCCUUACACAUGCAAGUCGAACGGCAGCACGGGGCAACCUGGUGGCGAGUGGCGAACGGGUGAGUAAUGCAUCGGAACGUACCUUUCAGUGGGGGAUAACGUAGCGAAAGUUACGCUAAUACCGCAUAUUCUGUGAGCAGGAAAGCGGGGGAUCGCAAGACCUUGCGCUGAUUGAGCGGCCGAUGUCAGAUUAGCUAGUUGGUGAGGUAAAGGCUCACCAAGGCGACGAUCUGUAGCGGGUCUGAGAGGAUGAUCCGCCACACUGGAACUGAGACACGGUCCAGACUCCUACGGGAGGCAGCAGUGGGGAAUUAUGGACAAUGGGGGCAACCCUGAUCCAGCCAUGCCGCGUGAGUGAAGAAGGCCUUCGGGUUGUAAAGCUCUUUCGGCCGGGAAGAAAUCGCACGGGCUAAUACCCUGUGUGGAUGACGGUACCGGAAUAAGAAGCACCGGCUAACUACGUGCCAGCAGCCGCCGUAAUAC